rnacentral:lncRNA from 1 species
UAAAAGAAAAAAAAAAAAAAACUGUAAAUGACCUUAGGAGAUUUUUGUCACAGUCUCCUGCUUCCCUAUUCUCCACGUCAAAAUGUGAUGGUACCCAUAAAUGCUGGCAUUUGUCCUCUGAGGGUGUUUUGAUCAACAUCUCCCAGCUCUCACUAGCAGCUUCCUGGACCAGUUCAAGAUCCCCCUGUUCCAUCUUAAUAAUGGAAUCCUUAUUCAAUUCUUUUCCAGCAAGAAUCAGACACAUUUCCUCUGUUAAAUGAACACAUAUUCAAUCAUUUUAAAUUUCCAAGAAAAACAAAUGCAGGGGUUGGUUUAAAAUAUGAGACCCGAUUAUCCUACAUUCCUCUGUAAUCAGAGAAUGAGCUCAUUCACUCUGAACAGCACACCAGGAGUCAGGCUGGAUGUUAAAUAGCAUCAUCCUGUCACCAAAAGAUGAAUGUGUCCAAUUAUCAGUGGCGCCUUGCCCUCAGUAGAGUAUAAACUGAAAGGUAACAGACGAGAGCUCCUUAGCUCCAGGGCCAGGGUUUUGUGACCUAAAACUCAAAAGCAAAUUCUGCUCAGCCCAAUAUAAGAUGUCCAGCUUUCUUGCUAUUGCUCCCGGAAGGCUUCACUGUGUUAAAUCAUGAUGUUUAAAGGCAAUCCAUUCACAGGUAUACACUGACCCCUCGAUUGCUGAUUUCUCCUUGUGCUGGAAGAACUUAGGUUUGUACCUCCCUCUGACUUGCCUUCCAAAUCCCUCACUGGAGCUAACGAGGGUUGCACACUCCCUUCCCCACUCCACGUGGGUAAGUGGAUUGAGAGUGGGAAGAUACUGUAAAGAGGAAGAAUUAAUACAGCAUAGAAACUCAGUGGGGAUAAAAGGGUGACUUCUGACUUUUCUGAGAUGGAUUCUAACUAUCUUCACCCAGCAGUAGGCAAUGGCUUUGAAAAGAAAAGUAGAAAAGAGAAGAGAAGCUCUUUAGCACUAGAAAUAUAUUCAUGCCACCAAAAGUCACCCUCAGUGCUAACACUGGCAUCCCAUAAUUUAAGCCGUAAACCUGUCUUCGUGCCCACAUCAUUAGUCCAAAGGCACUGAAAAGGCUGUNNNNNNNNNNNNNNNNNNNNNNNNNNNNNNNNNNNNNNNNNNNNNNNNNNNNNNNNNNNNNNNNNNNNNNNNNNNNNNNNNNNNNNNNNNNNNNNNNNNGUCUUCGUGCCCACAUCAUUAGUCCAAAGGCACUGAAAAGGCUGUAUAUCAAAGUGAAAAUGCAAGAUAGGGUGUGAUUCAGUUCACCUUAUGAAAUCAAAAACCUUUCCUCUUUCUUGGUAUAAUUCUAUAUACACUUAUAAAUGUGAAUACACAGCACAGAAUAAUGACUUCCAAAAUGUGGUUGUUUUAUGGAAUGUUAAAAGGAAUGUUUGUCAUUUUGGAGAUAUCUAAUAUGCAAACUUUUUUUCUGUUUGAGGGGGAUCUCAAAGUAGAGGUGGGAUUCCAUCUCUAAUUAUCUAAAAAAAAGGAAAACACUGUCCUUCCCAGCCCUCUGGAAGUUGGGCAUGGGUGUCAGACAUAACCUUAGGCAGUACAAGUCCCAACUGAAAUUUUGAACCUUGAGAAAGUAAUACAAAAAACUUCAGAGGAAAUUAAGGUCUCAAUAAGACACUGGAAAAGAGAAUCUACAAUAUAUGAGAAGAAUUGUACACCAUGACCUAGCCUAACAUCUGAAAGUCAAUCAGUGUAAUACACCAUAUCAGUACAAUAAAGGACAAAAGCCACAUGAUCAUGCCAACAGUUGCAUAAUAGGAGUAUUUCACAAAAUCCAAUAUCACCUCAUAAAAAAAAAAAAAAAACUUACAAACUAGGAAUGGAAGGAAACUAUAUCAAGCUGAUAAAUGGAAUGGAAAAAAUGGACCUAACCUUGAAAGACUUAAUUCCUUUCCCCUAAGGAUCAGGAAUAAAAUGAAAAUGUGCACUCUUGCCUCUUCUGUUCAACAUCAUACUGAGAUUGUAGCCAUGGUAAGUAGGCAAGAAAAAUUAAAUAAAGGGGAACAAGAUUGGGGAAAAAAAAAAAAACUGUCCCCCUUUCAAAUAACAUGAUAUUGCAUAUGUUGUUCAGUGGCUAAGCAGGGUCUAACUCUUUGCAACCCUGUGGAUUGCAGCCCACUGGGCUCCUCUGUUCUCCACUAUCUCCCAGAGUUUGCUCAAACUCACGCCCAUUGAGUUGGUGAUGC